CGGCCCUGUCGAGAUAGAACCCUUGCCUUUUUGAGUACCUUUCGUUUCCUCGGCAGGCUCGCCUGCCAAUGGGGACCACAAAAAACACUUUGCAGUACCUGUAAUAGUCUGAACAAACAAAACAAAAAUUAAAACUUUCAACAACGGAUCUCUUGGUUCUGGCAUCGAUGAAGAACGCAGCGAAAUGCGAUAAGUAGUGUGAAUUGCAGAAUUCAGUGAAUCAUCGAAUCUUUGAACGCACAUUGCGCCCUUUGGUAUUCCUUAGGGCAUGCCUGUUCGAGCGUCAUUUAAACCUUCAAGCUAAGCUUGGUGUUGGGUGACUGUCCGCUUCACGGCGGACUCGCCUCAAAAUUAUUGGCGGCCGGUACAUUGGCUUCGAGCGCAGCAGAAACGCGAACUCGGGCCCGUCGUAUUGGCUCCCAGAAGCUAUCUUCACAAUUUUGACCUCGGAUCAGGUAGGGAUACCCGCUGAACUUAAGCAUAUCAAUAAGCGCAGGAAAAG
rnacentral:rRNA from 1 species